CCUACGGGCAGCAGUGGGGAAUAUUGGACAAUGGGCGAAAGCCUGAUCCAGCCAUGCCGCGUGUGUGAAGAAGGCCUUCGGGUUGUAAAGCACUUUCAGUGGGGAAGAAAGCCUUGGGGCUAAUACCCUCGAGGAAGGACAUCACCCACAGAAGAAGCACCGGCUAACUCCGUGCCAGCAGCCGCGGUAAUACGGAGGGUGCGAGCGUUAAUCGGAAUUACUGGGCGUAAAGCGCGCGUAGGCGGUUUGAUAAGCCGGUUGUGAAAGCCCCGGGCUCAACCUGGGAACGGCAUCCGGAACUGUCAGGCUAGAGUGCAGGAGAGGAAGGUAGAAUUCCCGGUGUAGCGGUGAAAUGCGUAGAGAUCGGGAGGAAUACCAGUGGCGAAGGCGGCCUUCUGGACUGACACUGACGCUGAGGUGCGAAAGCGUGGGUAGCAAACAGGAUUAGAUACCCCAGUAGUC
rnacentral:rRNA from 1 species